rnacentral:sRNA from 1 species
CAACUUUCUAGCUGUCUGUAUGUUAUAUUUCUUUUUCAAACCUACUGUUUGCCAUCGUUGUAGAAUUGACAGAUCUUCAUGUGUUUUUUUGUAGUCUGCAGAUCCUUCCAUAAUUUUAGAACUCAUAUUUGGGAUGUAUAUGCAGCAGUUAGGACAGGAAGGAGAUGACUUGCAUAGCAUUACCAACAUGUGGCACCGCAUGCAAACUGUUGCAACCAUCUCAUUGUAAUCAUCCUCAGUUGAUGACAGCCACGAGGGAGAACGAAUGUUUAUACCUUCUGAAUCUUUCUUACACUUGCUCGGUUCAUUGAACAGAUCCUGAUGAUCACGUUCACUCAAACCUCCUGGGGAACCAGAACUCUGUUUCUCAUUCACAUUGUAACUGUCUUC